rnacentral:lncRNA from 1 species
GUAAUGGGCAGAGGUUGGAACAGUUUGGACAUACGGCACCUUAUUCACAUUGUAGUACAGUCGGGGCUCCACACCCGUGGGUUCCACAUCCAUGGAUUUAGCCAAUUGUGGAUGGAAAAUAUUUAAACAAGAAACAGGGCCGGAGGUGCUUCCCGUGGAUGAAGAGAAGGGGGUGGUUAUAGAUUUGCUGUCUGGACCCAGAUGCCCGUGGAUGGGAUCCAGCUAUUCUCCUGGCUUUUUGUUUCUUGCGUCUUGGGCUUAUUUUCAAGUGGACUUUUAUGAAAUUGGGUUUCUUGGUCCUUUCCUACAGUCUUAAUGAUGAUGUGGGACUUGUGAUGAUGCUGGACUUUGGAUUGAUGGAGGAAAGUAUUACAUGAGUGCUUAAAGAACAUUGAGAAACAUCAAAAAGUAUUUGUUCAGUAAUGGCUUGUAAAAAAUUCAGAAAUAUAUUAAAGGAUUUAUAUAUUUUAUACCAAAUUUUUAAUAAAAGGGAAAAUAGAGAAUAUUGAAUACCUCAUUAGUCAGCACCAGCAGGCAACAGUAAUUAAAAGAGUUUUUGGCCGGUAUGGUGGCUCACGCCUGUAAUCCCAGCACUUUGGGAGGCCAAGGCAGGCAGAUCACUUGAGUCCAGGAGUUCAAGACCUGCCUCGCUAUGGUGAAACCCCGUCUCUAUUAAAAAUACAAAAAAUUAGCCUGUUGUGGUGGAGGGCACCUAUAGUCCUAGCUACCUGGGAUGCUGAAGCACAAGAAUCACUUGAACCUGGGAGGUGGAGGUUGCAGUGAGCCAAGGUCACACCACCGCACUCCAGCCUGGGCAACAGAGCCAGACUCUGUC